GCGGACGUGGCGGAACUGGCAGACGCGUUGGGCUUAGAACCCAAUGCCCUUUUGGGCUUGGGAGUUCAACUCUCCCCGUCCGCA
rnacentral:tRNA from 1 species